AAAGUAUUAAGUUAAAUUAAACUGUCAGCCUUCAAAGCUUAAAAUGGGUUAUGUCUCAUAUUUUA
rnacentral:tRNA from 1 species